rnacentral:lncRNA from 1 species
UCCAAAUACAGUUGCGUCGGGUGUCGGAAGCACCGUCGGCGUCAAUGAAGAGAUUCUCUCUGUGGGGAAAUGCCCAAAUGGGCGCUGGGUGAGAUGUGGGGCACUGGGACCACCGGGAGGGCCGCAGUGCCAGGAGCAGGAGGAGCCUGCUGCCUUACCUGCCAUGGCAGCUCGAGAGUGGCGCUGGGGGGUUCCGUGAGCGCUGGGGUCAGCCCCUCUGCCCUGAGCUCACAAGGACUCUCUGUGACGCUGUCACAGGCAUUGCUCUGUGCCUGCCCCAUCAC